rnacentral:rRNA from 1 species
UGAGACAGGUGCUGCAUGGCUGUCGUCAGCUCGUGUUGUGAAAUGUUGGGUUAAGUCCCGCAACGAGCGCAACCCUUAUCCUUUGUUGCCAGCGAUUCGGUCGGGAACUCAAAGGAGACUGCCGGUGAUAAACCGGAGGAAGGUGGGGAUGACGUCAAGUCAUCAUGGCCCUUACGAGUAGGGCUACACACGUGCUACAAUGGCGCAUACAAAGAGAAGCGACCUCGCGAGAGCAAGCGGACCUCACAAAGUGCGUCGUAGUCCGGAUCGGAGUCUGCAACUCGACUCCGUGAAGUCGGAAUCGCUAGUAAUCGUGGAUCAGAAUGCCACGGUGAAUACGUUCCCGGGCCUUGUACACACCGCC